AAUAAAGUGCCUGAAUAAAGGAUUAUCGUGAUAGGAUAAAUAAUGUAAUUUUUAUUACCUUUAUUA
rnacentral:tRNA from 1 species